GUCCUUUAGAAUAGAAUUUAAGGUCUGAUCUGCCCACUGAUUGAUUAAAUGGCCGCAGUAAUUUGACUGUGCAAAGGUAGCAUAAUCAUUAGUUUUUUAAUUAAAAGCUUGUAUGAAUGAUUGGACGAGAUAAAUACUGUCUCUGAAUAAUAAGUAGAAUUUAAUUUUUAAGUUAAAAAGCUUAAAUAAAUAUAAAAGACGAGAAGACCCUAUAGAUCUUUAUAAUAUUUUAUAUAUAUUUAAUUAAGAUUAUUUUAUUAUAUAUAAAAAAUAUUAUUUUAUUGGGGUAAUAGGAAGAUUAAAUUAAUUCUUUAUUAUUUAUAUAUAGAUUAAUAGAUUUUUGAUCCUUUAUUAAAGAUUAUAAGAUUAAGUUACCUUAGGGAUAACAGCGUAAUUUUUUUGAAGAGUUCAUAUCGAUAAAAAAGUUUGCGACCUCGAUGUUGGAUUAAAAAUUAUCUUAGGUGUAGAAGCUUAAGAUUUUGGUCUGUUCGACCAUUAAAUUUUUACAUGAUCUGAGUUCAGACCGGUGUAAGCCAGGUCGGUUUCUAUCUUUAUUAGAUUUAUAUAUUUUAGUACGAAAGGACCAAGUAUAAGAUAUAUUUAUAUUUUUAUUUUUGAAUUAUA
rnacentral:rRNA from 1 species